rnacentral:rRNA from 1 species
CACGAACCGUACGAACGUUAUUCGGAAUUAUUGGGCUUAAAGGGUGCGUAGGCGGCGUGGUAAGUCGGGUGUGAAAGCCCACAGCUCAACUGUGGAAUUGCGCCCGAUACUGUCAUGCUUGAGGGAGACAGAGGCGAGCGGAACUGAUGGUGGAGCGGUGAAAUGCGUUGAUAUCAUCAGGAACACCGGUGGCGAAAGCGGCUCGCUGGGUCUCUUCUGACGCUGAGGCACGAAAGCUAGGGUAGCGAACGGGAUUAGAAACCCCCGUAGUCC